GGGUCAGUAGGUUGGUCGUGCCACCGGUACGUACUGGUCUCACUGAUUCCUCCUUCCUGAAGAACCGUAAUGCCAUUAACUUGGUGUUGCGGGGAAACAGGACUGUUACUUUGAAAAAAUUAGAGUGUUUAAAGCAAGCUAACGCUUGAAUACAUUAGCAUGGAAUAAUGAAAUAGGACGAUCGAUCCUAUUUUGCUGGUUUCUAGGAUUGACGUA
rnacentral:rRNA from 1 species